GCAAGACUAAGAAAUGCACAGGAACAAACGCAGAGUAUAAGAGCAAUAAAUAAUGAAUGAUGACAAGUGCCUGGCCUAAUUCAUCAUUAGCAACUUCAUAAGCUUCUGUAUUAGCAAAACAUUUAGAGAAAUAAUCUUUUAAAGCAUUGCAGAAGUUUUCUCAUAAUGAUUCAUAGCUAAAAUUUUCUUUUCUUCCCUUCUUAACUUCUUCAUACUGUCAAUUAACUGAUCUGGCUGGCAAUCACACAAAGGAGCAUUGCAGUGGGCCAAGUAGGACAUCAAUGUUUUAUUUAGUUCAUCUUUAUCUUCUGGUGUCAUUGAUUAUUUAAUUUUCUUCCACUUUACCAAUCAGUUCAAUGCUCUCUACUUGAUGACAUUGAUUUCAGGUAAACAAUCAGUGACGCUUCAAGGAAGAAUGAUGGACUAUCCACAUGCAGUCAUAUAAGAAUGCUUCAGAAUUGCUAUAAAAACCAUCAAAAUAUUAAAUGCAUUUUUGCCACUCUUGAAAACAUAA
rnacentral:misc_RNA from 1 species